AGCGAACGCUGGCGGCAGGCUUAACACAUGCAAGUCGAACGGACCCUUCGGGGUUAGUGGCGGACGGGUGAGUAACACGUGGGAACGUGCCUUUAGGUUCGGAACAACACAGGGAAACUUGUGCUAAUACCGGAUGUGCCCUUCGGGGGAAAGAUUUAUCGCCUUUAGAGCGGCCCGCGUCUGAUUAGCUAGUUGGUGGGGUAAAGGCCUACCAAGGCGACGAUCAGUAGCUGGUCUGAGAGGAUGGCCAGCCACAUUGGGACUGAGACACGGCCCAAACUCCGACGGGAGGCAGCAGUGGGGAGCCUUGCGCAAUGGGCGAAAGCCUGACGCAGCCAUGCCGCGUGAAUGAUGAAGGUCUUAGGAUUGUAAAAUUCUUUCACCGGGGACGAUAAUGACGGUACCCGGAGAAGAAGCCCCGGCUAACUUCGUGCCAGCCGCCGCAGUAA
rnacentral:rRNA from 1 species